UACGAAGGGGGCUAGCGUUGCUCGGAAUCACUGGGCGUAAAGCGCACGUAGGCGGCUUUUUAAGUCAGGGGUGAAAUCCUGGAGCUCAACUCCAGAACUGCCUUUGAUACUGAGAAGCUUGAGUUCGGGAGAGGUGAGUGGAACUGCGAGUGUAGAGGUGAAAUUCGUAGAUAUUCGCAAGAACACCAGUGGCGAAGGCGGCUCACUGGCCCGGUACUGACGCUGAGGCACGAAAGCGUGGGGAGCAAACAGGG
rnacentral:rRNA from 1 species